GAUGAACGCUGGCGGCGUGCUUAACACAUGCAAGUCGAACGGACAGACGAGAAGCUUGCUUCUUUCACGUUAGCGGCGGGGGGGAGUGAAACAUGUGUAGAACCCACCUAUAUGACGGGGAACACCUCGGGAAACCGGAGCUUAUUCCGGAGAAUAUUCUGCAGCGUAUGGGGCGAUAGUGAAAGACGGCCUUGCUGUAACUUAUCGAUGGUUCCGCGCUGCAUUAGCUAGUUGGUAAGGUAACGGCUUACCAAGGCUACGAGUGAUAGCCGAGCUGAGAGAGUGAUCGGCGACACUGGAACUGAGCCACGGUCCAGGCUCCUACGGGAGGCAGCAGUAGGGAAUGGUCCGCAGUGGGGGGAAACCUGACGCAGCGAGGCCGCGUGAGUGAUGAAGGUCUUCGGUUCGUAAAGCUCUGUUAUGGGUGAAGAACAUAUUUGGAAGGAGAUGUGCACAUAGUGACGGUAACUAGUCAAGAAGCACCGGCUAACUACGUG
rnacentral:rRNA from 1 species